CAGGAGAAAGUGUCCCCCCCCCCCCUCAGUCCUCAAAUGUGCAGUAAGUCUUGAGACACACACUGAAGACACUACUUGCACCUUUGUGGAGGAAAUGAGUUGACCUUUUAUUCUUUCGUUUUCGUUGCGCCGUUAAGACCGUAGAGUCCGAACAUUGAGACCACAAAAGUCCCUUUAGUCUACCUUGACCAUAUAUAGAUUGUCCACUGUCUAGACUAGCUAGCACACCGUCAGUGACCUCUCUCACUUUGAUAUCUAAGUAGAAUCUUAGGGCCAUCUUGUCAGGCACACUCGCGAACGCAUACAAACACACACACUUGACAAACACACACACACACU